UCCCUCUCCCCAUACCCAUCCACUCAAUAGGGAACUGCUGAGCUGAACCCACUUAUCUUUUCCCAACAUCCAAAGGAGUGGAACGGAGUGACAGUCUCCGUAAAACAGGCACUACUAGGGUAUGCUUCCCUCACCCGAGAGAGGAGAUUUUUCUUUUCGGAGAGAAACAUCUCUGAACUUUCCCCCACUCUCAACCAUCGCAUGUGGCUUCCCUCGGUGGACCUCCCGCACCGAACAGGUACCCCCAGGGCUUCCAAUUCACCCAAUGUCGAAAGUUCCCACCGCUGCCCCACUCAGAGCUUGGCUCCUAAAACCUAACAUGUCUCCUCAAAGAAAAGCCUGAUAACGAUGGGGUCAUUCCCCUUUGGAAUCUGAGAGAUCGUUUUCCCUUCUCACUUCGCCAGUCCUGAUGCCCUUAAUCCCCCCCGCUCCGCCAAAACCAGCCACGCCAAGACGCCCCCUUUCCAAGCGACAUAGAGAUUUCCUCGGCUAACCCCAUCCCCCAAACUAACGCUGGAGCCGUCCCCUUAACCAAUGGAGGAUCCUCGGUCACCCCCUUGAGAUCGUUUUCUCCUUCCAUCCAUCCUAAGGGGUUCUCUGAAGUCCCCGCCAAACGGACAUCCCAAGGAUGGCUACCCCCUCACUCGGACCUCCAUCACCCGGGGAAUUUCUGCAAGCAAAAGUCACAGUAGAGCAAAUUCCGGUGCGGAACACCUUGCAGGAGGAAUAGGUUAAACCCGACGGUCCGGGGCAUGCUGGUUAUUGUAGUUCAGCGGCGUCGCGGAGCCUGCCGGGAGUUGUGGUCCUCGGCGCUGAAGCUCCCUCCGAGAAGCUCCAUCCCCUCUUUCGGAAGUCGCAGCCAGUCCCCCGAGCCGGAUUCGGCGGGUGCCUGCGCCUCAUCUCCGCCUUGCGCUGGAGCUGGUAGCUGUUUACAGGACAAGAGUCCUGUUUAUCGGAUUGUUGGGAAAAUUAAAAUGGUUAAUGGAACUAAAGAAUUUAGAGAAGGCCUUGACACAGAGCGAGUGCCGUAUAAGUAUUAGCUAUUAUUUUUCUUAUUAAUCCUCAAUGACCCUUGCAAAGAAGCUUUUAUCAUCUCUAUUUGUCAGAUAAGGAAACUGAGGCUCAGAAGCGUAGGAAUGCUUUCCCAGGAUCCCACAACAAGGAAGGCAUAAAAUCAGGUUUGGAAUUCA